rnacentral:rRNA from 1 species
UACGUAGGGUGCAAGCGUUGUCCGGAAUUAUUGGGCGUAAAGAGCUCGUAGGCGGUUUGUCGCGUCUGCUGUGAAAACCCGAGGCUCAACCUCCAGCCUGCAGUGGGUACGGGCAGACUAGAGUGCGGUAGGGGAGAUUGGAAUUCCUGGUGUAGCGGUGAAAUGCGCAGAUAUCAGGAGGAACACCGGUGGCGAAGGCGGGUCUCUGGGCCGAUACUGACGCUGAGGAGCGAAAGCGUGGGGAGCGAACAGG